ACGGACCAGUCCCGUCUCGUCGCUGCCCGCGUUCAAACCGACAGGGACUGGGUGUAGUUCUGCCCUCGCCGCCGAUCCCGACGCAGUGGCCGAAUCUGGUUGUUUUUUUUCUUUUGAGCCCGUUUCAAUUCCCAGUGCCGGAGUGAAUUAUGUGGUGCAGUGGCCGCCUCAAAUAGUCUGAGUUCGGAACCCGAAUCGUCUCGCCGCAUCUCCGCCCUUCCAACAUGUUCCGCUGCAUUCCCAUUUUCAAAGGAUGUAAUCGCCAGGUCGAAUACGUUGACAAGCGUCACUGCUCCUUGCCCAACGUCCCGGAGGAUAUUCUCAGGUACUCGAGGAGCCUGGAGGAACUCCUCCUCGACGCCAACCACAUCCGGGAUCUCCCGAAGAAUUUCUUCCGUUUGCACCGCCUGAGGAAGUUAGGACUGAGCGAUAAUGAAAUACAACGGCUUCCACCGGACAUACAGAAUUUCGAAAGCCUCGUCGAACUCGACGUGUCCCGCAAUGACAUUCCGGACAUCCCCGAAAACAUCAAAAAUCUUCAGGCGCUUCAGGUGGCGGAUUUCAGUAGUAAUCCGAUCUCGAGGUUGCCACCGGGAUUUGUCCAUUUAAAAAAUCUAACAGUUCUAGGAUUGAACGAUAUGUCAUUAACAAAUCUACCACCUGAUUUUGGGUUAUUGACUAGUCUACAGUCAUUAGAACUGCGAGAGAACUUACUUAAGUCCCUCCCUGAGUCUCUAUCGCAGCUAUCAGCACUUGAAAGGCUUGAUUUAGGGGAUAAUGAAAUAGAAGAAUUGCCUCGUCACAUAGGGAAAUUACCUGCCCUUCAGGAACUGUGGUUGGACCAUAAUCAACUUCAGCAUUUACCAUCGGAAAUUGGCGAGUUAAAAUCUCUGACAUGCCUCGAUGUAUCUGAAAACAGACUGGAGGGCCUUCCUGAAGAAAUCGGUGGUCUUGAAAGCCUAACGGAUCUUCACUUAUCUCAGAACGUAAUCGAAACCCUGCCUGAUGGAUUGGGCAGCCUGAAGAAACUAUUGAUUUUAAAGGUGGAUCAAAACAGGUUAUCGAUACUUAACAGCAACAUAGGAAAAUGUGAAAAUUUACAAGAAUUAAUUUUGACGGAAAAUUUUCUUGUGGAACUUCCACUCUCCAUAGGAAAUCUAGUAAACUUGACAAAUCUGAAUGUAGACAGAAACAGCCUUCACAAUGUUCCACCAGAAAUUGGUAGGCUAGCCUCUUUAGGCGUCCUUUCGCUGCGGGACAACAAGCUCCAAUACAUUCCGUCUGAAAUUGGAAACUGCUCAUUACUUCACGUCCUUGACCUCUCUGGAAAUAGGUUGCAAUAUCUGCCAUUUUCGCUGACAAACUUGCAGUUAAAAGCUGUUUGGCUGUCUGAGAAUCAGGCUCAGCCACUGCUCACCUUCCAGACUGAGCACGAUGAAGCGAGUAAUGAACAGGUGCUCACAUGUUUCCUUCUCCCGCAACAAGAAUCUGCCCAGGACAACACUGCCGGGCGAGUGAACAAGGCUUUUGAAGUUGGAUUUGGAAUGUCAACAUUAGAUCCAGUUGAAAGCGAUGAAGAAGGAUGGGAGGAGAGAGAGGCAUCGAGGACCCAUUCUGUCAAGUUCACUGAGGAUGUCGAGACUGAACCAGGGAAGGAGUCAAGUUCAACUCCGUUUGUGAGGCAAAACACCCCCCACCCUAAAGAACUCAAAGCAAAGGCACACAAACUGUUUAAUAAAUCUAAAAUUAUUGACAGUAGAGAAUUGGCAGUUGAAGAACUGGAUGAAUCUACAAGAUCAUCAUCAUUUAGAAAUGAUCGCCUUAGUUCUACUGAUGUAGAUCCAAAUAGCGAACGUAGUUCUUAUUCAGAAAGCACAGCUAAAGAUGAAUUCAAAGAGAGCAAGAAUAUUGAGAUGAAAGUAAGUAAUGAUGUGAGAAUAACUAGUGAGUCGCCGAGUGAAACAGGGCAGAGUGAAAUGGAAGAAGAUGAUGAACAGGAGAAACACGUCGGUUUUGAAGUAGAGUCAGGCGCAGUUGAGGAUGGCCCUCACAGGCCAACCCGGCUCCACCGGAGGGACACCCCCCAUCACCUAAAGAACAAGAGGAUCAACCAAACAACACAGAUGGACAAAGAUAAAAUGGCUGCCAUUAUUGCAUGUGCUAUAAAUAACAAGAAAAAGGAGGAGGAAAUAGCGGCGAGCAACGAGAAACCUGCUAAUCCGGCCCCACCCGAAUUGAACAGCAGAAACGAAGUCGAUGCGGUUGUUGAUAUUAAUGAAGAGAGGUUGGAAAUAAAACUAGAGAAAACUUCAGCUGGUUUGGGCCUUUCUAUAGCCGGAGGAUUGGGUUCGACCCCGUUUAAAGGAGACGAUGAAGGAAUUUUUGUAUCUCGUGUCACUGAUGGUGGCCCAGCAGAUAUUGCUUGCCUUAAAGUCGGUGACAAGAUACUUUCUGUUAACGGGCACAAUAUGGUCGGUGCUGGUCACUAUGAGGCUGUAGAAGUUCUCAGGUCGGCUGGGCCUGUACUUAAUAUUGUGAUCAUCCGUGAUGUCUCUAGGUUAUUACCAUUGCAGAAGAAUUCAUCCCGUAUCGGUGAUUCAGUCCCAUCUAGUCUAAGCACGAGCAGACCACCCAGUUCAACAUCACAUUAUUCAGGAGUGACUUCAGUGUUUGAAGAGUAUCCACAGAACGGUCCAUUGCAUCAUCCAGUCGAUUCAAAGCUGGCUCAGCUCAAGAAAGAAAACUAUGAAAUUACUCAUCAACCUGUUUAUACAACAUUAAUAAGGGACCAUAAUGGACUUGGAUUUAGUAUAGCUGGAGGCAAAGGAUGUCCACCAUUUAGGGAAAAUUCAGAGUCAAUAUAUAUUUCAAGGAUAACAGAAGGUGGGGUAGCAGAAAAAGAUGGUAAACUUCAAGUUGGUGAUAGAAUUGUAUCUAUAAAUGGUGUGGAUCUGGAAGGUGCUCGGCAUGACCAGGCUGUGUCGAUGCUGACAGGUCUUGAGCGUUAUGUUAGGCUAGUUGCUGAAAGGGAAGUUAUUGUUCCGAAAGGGUCAACAACAGCUCCGACUCCUCCUCCUCCAGUUGAAAAAUCGCCAAAAUUAUUUCCUGUACCGAAACCGUAUACAUCUUUGUACAAUGCCAAUAGCCAUAUUGCGGGUGCAAGGCCUCCAAGUGUAAGGUCUAGUACGCCUCCGAACACCAACUCGACUUCUUCUGUUUCUUCACCACCUAAGCCAGCACCAAGAAGAAUAACAAGCCAGUCGUCUACUGAAUCAGACCCAGCCCCAAACACUGCUUCAACCGAGACCGGGUCGACGAUCAGAACGAAACCGAUCACAAAUGAAGAGUUCCAAGCGAUGAUCCCCGCACACUUCAUCGACGGUUCAAAAGGAGGAGACAGUGCGAAACCUAACGAUCCAACUACAGUAACACUCACGAUCAAAGCGCCAAACCCAAACAUGGCCAAUGGCAUCGAAUUCCCGGACACACCAACUUCAUUGGGCAAAGUCACUGAAACUAUUACGAAGAGUACUUUCACAGAGACGGUCGUCACUAGAGUCACUGACAAUAAACUGGCUGAAUCAGUUAUUAUUGAGGAAGUGACAUUAGCUAAAGAUGGAGGAUCCUUAGGGUUUAGCAUUAUCGGUGGGACAGACCAUUCUUGUACUCCAUUCGGAAAGAACGAACCGGGAAUAUUCAUAUCCCACAUUGUCGCGGGUGGGCGUGCAGCAAAUUCUGGUAAACUGAGGAUGGGCGAUAGAAUACUUAAAGUUAACAAAGAUGAUUUAACAAAAUGUAGGCACAACGAGGCAGUUAUGUCUCUUCUUCAACCAUCAAAUGAGAUAACAUUGACUGUCCAACACGAUCCUCUUCCAGAAGGCUUCCAAGACUUAACAAUAGUUAGGCAAGAUGGUGAGAAGCUCGGAAUGCAUAUAAAAGGUGGUUUACGGGGCCACAGGGGCAAUCCACUGGAUAAGACUGAUGAAGGAGUUUUCAUAUCGAAGAUAAACUCUGGUGGUGCUGCAAAAAGGGACGGAAGGCUUAAAGUAGGCAUGAGACUACUUGAAGUCAACGGCUUCUCCCUGCUAGGUGCUACUCAUCAAGAAUCAGUGAAUUCAUUAAGGAACGCAGGCCAGUCAAUUCGUCUAGUCGUCUGUAAAGGAUAUGACAAGGCCGAAGUCGACAAACUGUUAGCUGAAGGAAAGUUGACAAAGGAAAACAAAUCUGCAUCACAGAGUGUUUCUAGCCUUGAUCGAGAAGAUCAUGACAGUGAUACAAUAAGACAGGAACAACAGAUGAAACAAGAACUAGUUGCAUGGGAAAAAGAAGAGGAAAGGAAAAAAGAAAAGGAUGUUCAAAUGGAUGUUGAACAUGUUAAAGAUAAAUCUACACCAGAAAAAGUAAUGGAAGUGGUUCGAGCAGUUGAAAUACUAGCCAAUACUAAUGAAUCUAACCAGCCAAGUAAGCCAAAGUCUCCUGGUGGUCCUAAGUCAACAGACAGUCUCAAGACGACCACGAUAGUCAUGAGCAAGCAUACACUUGCUCCUCAAAGCGAGAAUAAUCAGCCAGAUUUUGUUCAAAUCGACGUUGAUAGAGACAGAGAGAGGAAUGAAACUGAUGAAUUGGUGCAUGUUUUUGAUAAGCAUGAUCCUUUUCUAAGUAGAAAGUCGACUCAGUUAAAGGAUGCGGAUGCUUUGCAUAGGACUGAAGAACCUAAUUUGAAAUCUCCAUGUAGAGAUACAUCCGUCAAAGCAACAUCAUUGGACAGGGAAGCACAAAAGAAAUUCCCAUCGGAUUCAAACCCUUCUUAUUCAAGGGUCUACAAACCUGAAGAGUUUAAUUUAAACAAACCUUUUGAAUAUGAUUCACGACAAAAUUCUUAUACUGAAUACAAAGAAAAAAAGCCUUCUUGGGACUAUGAAAGCAGGGAAUCGUUUAGUUCUCUUGACAGAGACGAUCGAUUUUAUGUUGGUUCUUCAGAGAAAGCGGGCAGUUCAAAAGACUUUAUUGAAGGAGAUAAAUAUUCUGAUGCUAUAUCAUCUUGUUUAAAAGAUUCUAGCAAAAUAGCAAACACGCCUGCACAUUCUUCACAUGAGUUCUUUGAGAAAAGGAUUUUUUCAGAUAAAGUUGAAUAUUCAUCGUCAGAAAGUGAUACAAAUUCACUCCCAAGAAAAUACAAGCCCAUAUUGAAAUCGCCAAUAGGAAAAAGACAUUCUUAUCACUAUUCUGAAUUUGUUAACGAUAAAAAUCAAGAUGUGUUUAAUUGGGAUGUUGAUAAAUUACAUAGUCCUGUUUCUUACCCGAAGAGAGAUUAUUCAGAUGAUUCUUAUGACACAAGAUCCCUUUUAUUACAAACACAUCGUGCAAAACCAACUUUAGAGUUUAAAAGUGCAACACUUCCCCGUACCAAAAUCGUUAGGUUUAAUACAAAUAUCCAACAAGUCCAACUUCCAGUUGAUAAAAGUGAUGAAGAUGUUUUCUGGCCUUCUGAACCUGAAUCUGAGCCUUUGCCUUCACCUUCAAAAGUCACUACCGUCUUUAAGGAAGUACCUUCACCAUCAAAGGUAGAAGUCACAAAUAUUCAUCCACCCAUGACAAAUUCAAACCCGACAAUAUCCUGCAAUGUUUCUAUCCCUCUGCAUGUGAUUAAUAAUGAGCCUAGGCAAACGAACACAAAUCCUUUUAUUGACCCUAGGCAAGCAUUUUUUCGUAUGCCUCAGGCGUAUCAACACCACCCUAUAUAUCCUUAUUCUUAUGUUUACGCACCUCUACAACCACCAUUAGAAACAAAUUUUGGAUCCAUGCAACCCUUAUAUCAUCAGCUACCAGGACAAAAUUUUUCAUUUCCGAUGGUGCCGAUUUCUUCAAACCAAGUUCAGUUGGAAUUGUCCAAUUCUCAACACUAUAAUACACCGGUUAUGACAACUGUACCUCAAGAGACUCGGGCUGGGAGCGAUGGAAGUCCUAGUCCGAUUAGAUUGAAUACAAUACAGAAUAGCCAGCCAGAAAUUUCUGUCCCAAAAAAGGAAACAGACAAAAAUAUAGAUAAAGACAUGCCUCGUACUAUUGGCGAUGAAAAUGAAAAUCAUAGUACAUAUCCGACAACUGUUUGUAGUUGUCACAAUAGUGAAUUAUCUUCGACUUCUCUUGUCAAACAGGUCAUAGAGAAAGAAGAUAAGAGUAAAAAGUCAGACGCUGGUAUUUUCAGAUUCAGCCAAUUUCAAUCAUUGAGGAAUAAAUUUGAAACAAACAAUUCUCAAAAUAACAACACUUUUAUAAAAACGAACCCUUUCGCUGAAUCUGCUUACAAAUCAGAAGGCGCACACGACAAUGAGGAAAAGCUUCAACACCGUCAGCCUUUGGUUAAGAGUUGUCUACUUUCUAGAGAUGAAUCGCCUCCGCCGCCACCCGUCAAUUACGCAACGCUCCCUUCAACAAGUGAAAUUCCCAGUUGGCAAGAAAUAUUUCUGAGCACACCCCCUCUUCCUGGGCCAGAGGAUUUUGAUGAAAAUGCUAACUAACACACAAAUUUCCAAAACUAAAGAACUUUUGUGUGAAUAAACUUUUGAUCUGAAAAUAACUUGCAUGGACAUUCUUGUUUUUAGUUUUCUUUCUUUUUUUAAUACUUAAUAUAUUUAUUUACUACAUGUUACUUUACAUUUCGGUCUCUGCCUUAUUUUUUUUUCUUCGGGUGAACAAACUUUAUUCUUGUAGUAUUCUAUUAAAAUCAUUGAACUCUUGGAAAACAAUAUUGAGUGCUUUCAGACAGUUGGAACAGACAGUGUUUGAUAAACGAAAGACAACAAACAACGGGAGUGAAGCAAAAACUCCUGAACCCAAGGCUUCAGUCAGUGAUAAAAAGAAGUUUUUUGAGAAAGCUAUGGAAGAACAU